rnacentral:rRNA from 1 species
AAAUUGAAGAGUUUGAUCAUGGCUCAGAUUGAACGCUGGCGGCAGGCCUAACACAUGCAAGUCGAACGGUAACAGGAAACAGCUUGCUGUUUCGCUGACGAGUGGCGGACGGGUGAGUAAUGUCUGGGAAACUGCCCGAUGGAGGGGGAUAACUACUGGAAACGGUAGCUAAUACCGCAUAACGUCGCAAGACCAAAGAGGGGGACCUUCGGGCCUCUUGCCAUCGGAUGUGCCCAGAUGGGAUUAGCUAGUAGGUGGGGUAACGGCUCACCUAGGCGACGAUCCCUAGCUGGUCUGAGAGGAUGACCAGCCACACUGGAACUGAGACACGGUCCAGACUCCUACGGGAGGCAGCAGUGGGGAAUAUUGCACAAUGGGCGCAAGCCUGAUGCAGCCAUGCCGCGUGUAUGAAGAAGGCCUUCGGGUUGUAAAGUACUUUCAGCGGGGAGGAAGGGAGUAAAGUUAAUACCUUUGCUCAUUGACGUUACCCGCAGAAGAAGCACCGGCUAACUCCGUGCCAGCAGCCGCGGUAAUACGGAGGGUGCAAGCGUUAAUCGGAAUUACUGGGCGUAAAGCGCACGCAGGCGGUUUGUUAAGUCAGAUGUGAAAUCCCCGGGCUCAACCUGGGAACUGCAUCUGAUACUGGCAAGCUUGAGUCUCGUAGAGGGGGGUAGAAUUCCAGGUGUAGCGGUGAAAUGCGUAGAGAUCUGGAGGAAUACCGGUGGCGAAGGCGGCCCCCUGGACGAAGACUGACGCUCAGGUGCGAAAGCGUGGGGAGCAAACAGGAUUAGAUACCCUGGUAGUCCACGCCGUAAACGAUGUCGACUUGGAGGUUGUGCCCUUGAGGCGUGGCUUCCGGAGCUAACGCGUUAAGUCGACCGCCUGGGGAGUACGGCCGCAAGGUUAAAACUCAAAUGAAUUGACGGGGGCCCGCACAAGCGGUGGAGCAUGUGGUUUAAUUCGAUGCAACGCGAAGAACCUUACCUGGUCUUGACAUCCACAGAACUUUCCAGAGAUGGAUUGGUGCCUUCGGGAACUGUGAGACAGGUGCUGCAUGGCUGUCGUCAGCUCGUGUUGUGAAAUGUUGGGUUAAGUCCCGCAACGAGCGCAACCCUUAUCCUUUGUUGCCAGCGGUCCGGCCGGGAACUCAAAGGAGACUGCCAGUGAUAAACUGGAGGAAGGUGGGGAUGACGUCAAGUCAUCAUGGCCCUUACGACCAGGGCUACACACGUGCUACAAUGGCGCAUACAAAGAGAAGCGACCUCGCGAGAGCAAGCGGACCUCAUAAAGUGCGUCGUAGUCCGGAUUGGAGUCUGCAACUCGACUCCAUGAAGUCGGAAUCGCUAGUAAUCGUGGAUCAGAAUGCCACGGUGAAUACGUUCCCGGGCCUUGUACACACCGCCCGUCACACCAUGGGAGUGGGUUGCAAAAGAAGUAGGUAGCUUAACCUUCGGGAGGGCGCUUACCACUUUGUGAUUCAUGACUGGGGUGAAGUCGUAACAAGGUAACCGUAGGGGAACCUGCGGUUGGAUCACCUCCUUACCUUAAAGAAGC